AUUUCAGAAACAUGGGGUUGUACAAAGAGAUGAGUGCUAUCAAUAACAUGAAUAAUGAACUUCUGCGAUGCAGGUAAAGAAGCAUUCAAAUUGAUAAUGAAUUGCGCCAUGGGUAUGUCAUAGGGAAUGAAUUGCUAGCAAGGAAAUUUAUCAGGCUUAGUAAGGUCAGAAUAUUCUUUUACCAGGAUAUGAACAAUCCUUUAGUAGCAUUGACCAUCUUGUAUCAGCAAUCUUAAGAGUUUGAAGCACUGCAAAAACCUCACAGGUCAAACCUGGUACACAGUUUCAGUCCGCAAUGUUGGAUUUUCGUUGAAGGGAAUGGUAGAGAGGAGCAGCAGUAGCUAGAAAGGAUGGAGCAGGACGGAGCAACCAAGAAUCGAUUCUGCUAUUCCGGACGAAGCAGCAGCUGGGCAUGCGGCAAGAAUGAGGGGCGGAGGCGAGAAGAAUGGAGUUAGUGGCUUGAAGGAGGUUACGAUGCCGUCAAGGGCACAAGGCCGAGGGAGGGGAGAGAGAGAGAGAGAGAGAGUAUAGCGAUAAGAGACAGAGAGAGACUUUGAGCAACAGAGCCGCCUCGAUCGUGCAGGAAAAUGAUUAUGAAUGUCAAAAGUUCCGAGCCCAUCCGACC
rnacentral:misc_RNA from 1 species